UCACGGCAGUCACUAAACACCUCAAGGUGCAACUAAGCAACAACCUCCACGAAACCAAGACACCCCACAGUGACCCCUGGAGGCUGGCUUCAGAAGAGACCUCCAUGUUAACAGGUCUAACUUAUAGUAAUAAACGUGUUCACAGCCUGCAGGACGCCCUCGGAGAAUGAUACGCCCCUCCCCUCCCAGUCCCACUCUCUGGCUGUCAGCUCUGCUCAGCUCCACACCGAAUCUUCUCUUACACCAACAAACCAGCCCCGUCCAGGCUUUUCAUCGCCUCUCGUCUCUGAGUGUUGGAUCCCUGAGAGUACCUGACAACUCACAGCUCAGAUUCCACUGCAGGCUCAAAUCUGCCGUGGGAUACCUGUAUUGUGAUUGGUCGUUGCCGCCCACGUCAGGACACCUCAGCUUCUGAACCAAGAUCCGAAUGAUGCUGAUGAACUGGAUGAAGUUCACCUUGGAGAUGGAGAGGAGAUCACAGCUGAGUCAUAAACAAAAAAAAACAAACAAAACAAAAAAAACCCUGGGGGGUGAUUGUGGUGUCUGUUGCUGCGUUGGAUAUUUUUCCACCCACAAACGUAGGAACUAUAAAAAUGAAGUUUGUGCUCCAACAGCUGUAAAAAAAGAUGGACUU